rnacentral:rRNA from 1 species
GACGAACGCUGGCGGCGUGCUUAACACAUGCAAGUCGAACGGAAAGGCCCUGCUUUUGUGGGGUGCUCGAGUGGCGAACGGGUGAGUAACACGUGAGUAACCUGCCCUUGACUUUGGGAUAGCUUCAGGAAACUGGGGCUAAUACCGGAUAGGAGCUCCUGCUGCAUGGUGGGGGUUGGAAAGUUUCGGCGGUUGGGGAUGGACUCGCGGCUUAUCAGCUUGUUGGUGGGGUAGUGGCUUACCAAGGCUUUGACGGGUAGCCGGCCUGAGAGGGUGACCGGCCACAUUGGGACUGAGAUACGGCCCAGACUCCUACGGGAGGCAGCAGUGGGGAAUAUUGCACAAUGGGCGGAAGCCUGAUGCAGCAACGCCGCGUGCGGGAUGACGGCCUUCGGGUUGUAAACCGCUUUCGCCUGUGACGAAGCGUGAGUGACGGUAAUGGGUAAAGGAGCACCGGCUAACUACGUG